AGAGUUUGAUCAUGGCUCAGAUUGAACGCUGGCGGUAUGCUUAACACAUGCAAGUCGAACGGCAGCACAGUAUGUAGCAAUACAUAUGGGUGGCGAGUGGCGGACGGGUGCGUAACGCGUAGGAAUCUACCUUGAAGCGGGGGGACAACCCGAGGAAACUCGGGCUAAUACCGCAUAAUCUCGCAAGAGUAAAGUUGGGGCAACCUGACACUUCAAGAGGAGCCUGCGUCCGAUUAGCUAGUUGGUGGGGUAAAAGCCUACCAAGGCGAUGAUCGGUAGCUGGUCUGAGAGGAUGACCAGCCACACUGGGACUGAGACACGGCCCAGACUCCUACGGGAGGCAGCAGUGGGGAAUAUUGGACAAUGGGGGCAACCCUGAUCCAGCAAUACCGCGUGUGUGAAGAAGGCCUUCGGGUUGUAAAGCACUUUAGUUGGGGAAGAAGGUAUGUAUUUUAAGAGAUAACAUAUUUGACGGUACCCAAAGAAUAAGCACCGGCUAACUCUGUGCCAGCAGCCGCGGUAAUACAGAGGGUGCGAGCGUUAAUCGGAAUUACUGGGCGUAAAGGGCGCGUAGGCGGUUAGUUAAGUUAGAUGUGAAAUCCCUGGGCUCAACCUAGGAACUGCAUCUGAUACUGGCUAGCUAGAGUGCAGUAGAGGGUAGUGGAAUUUCCGGUGUAGCGGUGAAAUGCGUAGAUAUCAGGAGGAACACCUGUGGUGUAGACAGCUUACUGGACCACGACUGACGCUGAGAACGAAAGCGUGGGUAGCAAACAGGAUUAGAUACCCUAGUAGUCC
rnacentral:rRNA from 1 species